AUUCUGAAACUUUUCUUUCCACACAAAAAUGGACCUACGAACACUCCGGUUGAGUUUGAAGAACAAGAAAAACAGUAGAGGUCUACCCGGUACCUAUGGUUAUAAACAUGAUGAUCAUAAGUGCAUGCAUCAUUUUGCAGAUUCUCAUCCAGGAUGAUACAGCUUUACAAUUUCCAUGGAGGUGAUUGAUGAUGAUAAACAAUUGGUGAAGUAGGCCUAAUAGAACAGUGAUAGGACCACAAAGAGAAAUACAACCUACAGCAGUUAUAUGAGACUGGUGUAACAGAUGUUUUCAUUCAAGAAAUCCAACAAACAAGAGUGACUUAGCGUAGGAUGCACUUGAUAAAGAUGGAAAAGGUUUUUUUUUUUCAAGUCCCAAUUUUUUUAAUAUUUUUUAUUAUUACAACCCCCAAUUCAUGAAGUAUUGAAAUUUCCUGUUGAUUUUCAUUAAAACUGGUUGCAAAAGGAGAAGCUAUAAACAUACAAAUAGGAGCGGCGAAGUGAAGUUGAAAGUGAGGGGGGGCACAGGGAAAUUGCUGUAUUAUGUGAAAUUUUUAAGAAGUUGCGAGAGAGCAAAAUUUUGACAUUUUUAAAAAGAAUAUCAAAUUUUGUGAUAGAUUUCGGCAAAAUAUGCAGAAUGAUAUAUUUCACCUUUUUUUUUUGGGGGGGGGGGGGGGCAAGAGUCCUUCAAGCCCCCCCUCCACCUGUAGUGUACGAAACUGCUUAUCUACCCCCACUCACAUGAAUUAUUAAACUUAAUGCACAAAGGAUUUCCUUAUUGUUUUCUUGUUUCAAAGGGCACUCGUCAUGGUGACCAUAAAACGGGUCCUUCUCAGGUGAAAGGGGCACAGAACAAGUUCUUUAGGAGCACUUUUCUUGGGUAAAGGGGGCAGUUAUUCGAGAAAGGGCACUUACAAGAAGGCGAGGGGGCACUUUUUAACACAUAAAACGGGCCCUCAGAUAAAAGGGCAUAGAACACGUUCGGGGGGGGGGGGGCAUUUUUUGGUAAAAAUUUGCAUACAAGGAAGAGCACUUGGUAACACCUAAAACAGGUUCUCGUCAGGUGAAAGGGACACAGUACACGUUCGUGAGGGGGCAUUUUUCUUACAUAAAAUUAAAGGCACUUUUCAGUGCUUCAAAAAGUAGGGGGAACUGUGCCCCCCAGGAUCGCUGCCCCUGCAUACAAAAAAACAUUUUCGUUCGAUUCAAAGUAUUAACAUACGCUUAAGAAAAAGAGUAAGGCUAAAUCCUCUGAUAAUGUGAUAUUAUUUCUGGCUAUUAAUAAAAUUCACAACCAGAAAAUGCCUUCAUGUCUUUCAUUUGUAUUCAUAUAGUAUUUGUACAAAGCUAAAAUGAAAGGGAUUUGGAAUUGGCAAAAUUCAAAAUGCGAUGGAGAUCGAAAGAGUGAAAGAGUGAUGAGAAGUGGGAUGAAAAGAGAUGAGAAAGAAAUGGAGGGGCACAUACGAAGAGAUAAUUCAAAGGGGGAGGGGGGUAAGAGAGCACGAAUGGUGCAGGAAGUAGGAACAAAGGGGUGAAAGAGAAAUAAGACGAGAUUUAUGGAAACCAGGAGGCAGAUAACAAGUGGGAAAAGAAGAAGGAAAUAUAUGUAGGAGAAAGGCAGCACCAAAAGAACAUGAGUGGG